AAGAACCUGAAACCGUGUACGUACAAGCAGUGGGAGCACAGGUUUACCUGUGUGACUGCGUACCUUUUGUAUAAUGGGUCAGCGACUUAUAUUCUGUAGCAAGGUUAACCGUAUAGGGGAGCCGUAGGGAAACCGAGUCUUAACCGGGCGUUAAGUUGCAGGGUAUAGACCCGAAACCCGGUGAUCUAGCCAUGGGCAGGUUGAAGGUUGGGUAACACUAACUGGAGGACCGAACCGACUAAUGUUGAAAAAUUAGCGGAUGACCUGUGGCUGGGGGUGAAAGGCCAAUCAAACCGGGAGAUAGCUGGUUCUCCCCGAAAGCUAUUUAGGUAGCGCCUCGUGAAUUCAUCUCCGGGGGUAGAGCACUGUUUCGGCUAGGGGGCCAUCCCGGCUUACCAACCCGAUGCAAACUGCGAAUACCGGAGAAUGUUAUCACGGGAGACACACGGCGGGUGCUAACGUCCGUCGUGAAGAGGGAAACAACCCAGACCGCCAGCUAAGGUCCCAAAGUCAUGGUUAAGUGGGAAACGAUGUGGGAAGGCCCAGACAGCCAGGAUGUUGGCUUAGAAGCAGCCAUCAUUUAAAGAAAGCGUAAUAGCUCACUGGUCGAGUCGGCCUGCGCGGAAGAUGUAACGGGGCUAAACCAUGCACCGAAGCUGCGGCAGCGAACGUAUCACCCAAGACAACUUUACGGAGUUGACGAUUGACGGAGCGAAGCGACGUCAAAGCGUUCAUUAAAGUCGAGUUGGCUUAGGGAUACGUUCGUUGGGUAGGGGAGCGUUCUGUAAGCCUGUGAAGGUGUGUCGUGAGGCAUGCUGGAGGUAUCAGAAGUGCGAAUGCUGACAUAAGUAACGAUAAAGCGGGUGAAAAGCCCGCUCGCCGGAAGACCAAGGGUUCCUGUCCAACGUUAAUCGGGGCAGGGUGAGUCGACCCCUAAGGCGAGGCCGAAAGGCGUAGUCGAUGGGAAACGGGUUAAUAUUCCCGUACUUGGUGUUACUGCGAAGGGGGGACGGAGAAGGCUAUGUUGGCCGGGCGACGGUUGUCCCGGUUUAAGCGUGUAGGUGUGUGUUCCAGGUAAAUCCGGUUCACUUUAACACUGAGGCGUGACGACGAGGCACUACGGUGCUGAAGCAACAAAUGCCCUGCUUCCAGGAAAAGCCUCUAAGCAUCAGGUAACACGAAAUCGUACCCCAAACCGACACAGGUGGUCAGGUAGAGAAUACCAAGGCGCUUGAGAGAACUCGGGUGAAGGAACUAGGCAAAAUGGUGCCGUAACUUCGGGAGAAGGCACGCUGACACGUAGGUGAAGUGAUUUACUCAUGGAGCUGAAGUCAGUCGAAGAUACCAGCUGGCUGCAACUGUUUAUUAAAAACACAGCACUGUGCAAACACGAAAGUGGACGUAUACGGUGUGACGCCUGCCCGGUGCCGGAAGGUUAAUUGAUGGGGUCAGCGCAAGCGAAGCUCCUGAUCGAAGCCCCGGUAAACGGCGGCCGUAACUAUAACGGUCCUAAGGUAGCGAAAUUCCUUGUCGGGUAAGUUCCGACCUGCACGAAUGGCGUAAUGAUGGCCAGGCUGUCUCCACCCGAGACUCAGUGAAAUUGAACUCGCUGUGAAGAUGCAGUGUACCCGCGGCAAGACGGAAAGACCCCGUGAACCUUUACUAUAGCUUGACACUGAACAUUGAGCCUUGAUGUGUAGGAUAGGUGGGAGGCUUUGAAGUGUGGACGCCAGUCUGCAUGGAGCCGACCUUGAAAUACCACCCUUUAAUGUUUGAUGUUCUAACGUGGACCCGUAAUCCGGGUUGCGGACAGUGUCUGGUGGGUAGUUUGACUGGGGCGGUCUCCUCCUAAAGAGUAACGGAGGAGCACGAAGGUUGGCUAAUCCUGGUCGGACAUCAGGAGGUUAGUGCAAUGGCAUAAGCCAGCUUGACUGCGAGCGUGACGGCGCGAGCAGGUGCGAAAGCAGGUCAUAGUGAUCCGGUGGUUCUGAAUGGAAGGGCCAUCGCUCAACGGAUAAAAGGUACUCCGGGGAUAACAGGCUGAUACCGCCCAAGAGUUCAUAUCGACGGCGGUGUUUGGCACCUCGAUGUCGGCUCAUCACAUCCUGGGGCUGAAGUAGGUCCCAAGGGUAUGGCUGUUCGCCAUUUAAAGUGGUACGCGAGCUGGGUUUAGAACGUCGUGAGACAGUUCGGUCCCUAUCUGCCGUGGGCGCUGGAGAACUGAGGGGGGCUGCUCCUAGUACGAGAGGACCGGAGUGGACGCAUCACUGGUGUUCGGGUUGUCAUGCCAAUGGCACUGCCCGGUAGCUAAAUGCGGAAGAGAUAAGUGCUGAAAGCAUCUAAGCACGAAACUUGCCCCGAGAUGAGUUCUCCCUGAGACUUAG
rnacentral:rRNA from 1 species